rnacentral:rRNA from 1 species
GACGAGGCACUACGGUGCUGAAGCAACAAAUGCCCUGCUUCCAGGAAAAGCCUCUAAGCAUCAGGUAACAUCAAAUCGUACCCCAAACCGACACAGGUGGUCAGGUAGAGAAUACCAAGGCGCUUGAGAGAACUCGGGUGAAGGAACUAGGCAAAAUGGUGCCGUAACUUCGGGAGAAGGCACGCUGACACGUAGGUGAAGUGAUUUACUCAUGGAGCUGAAGUCAGUCGAAGAUACCAGCUGGCUGCAACUGUUUAUUAAAAACACAGCACUGUGCAAACACGAAAGUGGACGUAUACGGUGUGACGCCUGCCCGGUGCCGGAAGGUUAAUUGAUGGGGUCAGCGCAAGCGAAGCUCCUGAUCGAAGCCCCGGUAAACGGCGGCCGUAACUAUAACGGUCCUAAGGUAGCGAAAUUCCUUGUCGGGUAAGUUCCGACCUGCACGAAUGGCGUAAUGAUGGCCAGGCUGUCUCCACCCGAGACUCAGUGAAAUUGAACUCGCUGUGAAGAUGCAGUGUACCCGCGGCAAGACGGAAAGACCCCGUGAACCUUUACUAUAGCUUGACACUGAACAUUGAGCCUUGAUGUGUAGGAUAGGUGGGAGGCUUUGAAGUGUGGACGCCAGUCUGCAUGGAGCCGGCCUUGAAAUACCACCCUUUAAUGUUUGAUGUUCUAACGUGGACCCGUGAUCCGGGUUGCGGACAGUGUCUGGUGGGUAGUUUGACUGGGGCGGUCUCCUCCUAAAGAGUAACGGAGGAGCACGAAGGUUGGCUAAUCCUGGUCGGACAUCAGGAGGUUAGUGCAAUGGCAUAAGCCAGCUUGACUGCGAGCGUGACGGCGCGAGCAGGUGCGAAAGCAGGUCAUAGUGAUCCGGUGGUUCUGAAUGGAAGGGCCAUCGCUCAACGGAUAAAAGGUACUCCGGGGAUAACAGGCUGAUACCGCCCAAGAGUUCAUAUCGACGGCGGUGUUUGGCACCUCGAUGUCGGCUCAUCACAUCCUGGGGCUGAAGUAGGUCCCAAGGGUAUGGCUGUUCGCCAUUUAAAGUGGUACGCGAGCUGGGUUUAGAACGUCGUGAGACAGUUCGGUCCCUAUCUGCCGUGGGCGCUGGAGAACUGAGGGGGGCUGCUCCUAGUACGAGAGGACCGGAGUGGACGCAUCACUGGUGUUCGGGUUGUCAUGCCAAUGGCACUGCCCGGUAGCUAAAUGCGGAAGAGAUAAGUGCUGAAAGCAUCUAAGCACGAAACUUGCCCCGAGAUGAGUUCUCCCUGAGACUUAGAGUCUCCUGAAGGAACGUUGAAGACGACGACGUUGAUAGGCCGGGUGUGUAAGCGCAGCGAUGCGUUGAGCUAACCGGUACUAAUGAACCGUGAGGCUUAACCUU